ACGAACGCUGGCGGCGUGCUUCACACAUGCAAGUCGCACGGAAAGGCCCUGCUUGCCGGGUACUCGAGUGGCGAACGGGUGAGUAACACGUGGGUGAUCUGCCCUGCACUUCGGGAUAAGCCUGGGAAACUGGGUCUAAUACCGGAUAGGAGCCAUUUUUAGUGUGAUGGUUGGAAAGUUUUUUCGGUGUAGGAUGAGCUCGCGGCCUAUCAGCUUGUUGGUGGGGUAAUGGCCUACCAAGGCGGCGACGGGUAGCCGGCCUGAGAGGGUGGACGGCCACAUUGGGACUGAGAUACGGCCCAGACUCCUACGGGAGGCAGCAGUGGGGAAUAUUGCACAAUGGGCGCAAGCCUGAUGCAGCGACGCCGCGUGGGGGAUGACGGCCUUCGGGUUGUAAACUCCUUUCGCUAGGGACGAAGCUUUUUGUGACGGUACCUAGAUAAGAAGCACCGGCUAACUACGUG
rnacentral:rRNA from 1 species